UCAGGGGGCCUGAGGCAGCCGCGUGUCGCAAGACGCGAGGAAAGUCCGGGCUCCACGAAACAAGGGUGGCGGGUAACGCCCGCCGGCGUUCCUUCGGGGGCGCAAGGGAAAGUGCCACAGAGAGCAAACCGCCGAUGGUUUCCCCGAAAGGGGCGCACAGGCAAGGGUGAAAGGGUGCGGUAAGAGCGCACCGGGGGGCUGGCAACAGCAACCGCAUGGCAAACCCCACCCGGAGCAAGGCCGAAUAGGGGCCGCGCGCCCGCCGCAAGGCAGGGUAGGGGUGUUUCGCCCCGAGCGGCCCGGGUUGGCUGCUAGAGCGCCGGAGCAAUCCGGCGACCAGAUGAAUGGCUGCCACCGCAGGCCCGUCCCGCAAGGGAUACCGCCUGAGGAUACAGAACCCGGCUUAUGAUGGCCCCCUGACGUU
rnacentral:RNase_P_RNA from 1 species